GUGCCAGUUAGCUCACUAGGCGAGAGCGUCGGUUUGUGGAACCGAAGGGCAGGGUUCGAAUCCCGACUGCGCA
rnacentral:tRNA from 1 species